rnacentral:tRNA from 1 species
AAGGAAUUAGUUAAAUGUAUAACAUUAGUUUGUCAAACUAAAAUCAUCCCUUGGAUAUUCUUUA